UACGUAGGGUGCGAGCGUUGUCCGGAUUUAUUGGGCGUAAAGAGCUCGUAGGCGGUUUGUCGCGUCGGCCGUGAAAUCUCCACGCUUAACGUGGAGCGUGCGGUCGAUACGGGCAGACGUUGAGUUCGGUAGGGGAGACUGGAAUUCCUGGUGUAGCGGUGAAAUGCGCAGAUAUCAGGAGGAACCACCGGUGGCGAAGGCGGGACUCUGGGCCGAUACUGACGCUGGAGGAGCGAAAGCGUGGGAAGCGAACAGG
rnacentral:rRNA from 1 species